rnacentral:rRNA from 1 species
AUUGAACGCUGGCGGCAGGCCUAACACAUGCAAGUCGAGCGGAGAGGCGGACGGGUGAGUAAUGCCUAGGAAUCUGCCUGGUAGAGGGGGAUAACGUCCGGAAACGGGCGCUAAUACCGCAUACUAUCAGAUGAGCCUAGGUCGGAUUAGCUAGUUGGUGGGGUAAAGGCAUACCACGGCGACGAUCCGUAACUGGUCUGGGAGGAUGAUCAGGCACACUGGAACGGAUACACGGUCCUGACUACUACGUGAGGCAGCAGUGGGGAAUAUGGGACAAGGGGCGAAAGCCUGAUCCAGCCAGGACGCGUGUGUGAAGAAGGUCUUCGGAUUGUAAAGCACUUUAAUUUGGGAGGCGUUACCAACAGAAUAAGCACCGGCGAACUUUGUGCCAGCAGCCGCGGUAAUUC